rnacentral:misc_RNA from 1 species
GAAAUGCGAUAAGUAAUGUGAAUUGCAGAAUUCCGUGAAUCAUCGAAUCUUUGAACGCACAUUGCGCCCUCUGGCAUUCCGGGGGGCAUGCCUGUCCGAGCGUCAUUACGCACCCUCAAGCCCGGCUUGUGUGAUGGGCCCUGGCGUCUCGUUCGCGAGACGGGCCCGAAAGGCAGCGGCGGCGUCGACCCGAUGAGCCCUAGCGUAUGGGGACUUUUGUCACACGUUUGCGGUGCGGACCGGCGCCUGCUUGACUUUUCUGAUUAUCCAGGUUGACCUCGGAUCAGGUAGGGAUACCCGCUGAACUUAAGC